ACCUUGCACUAGGCCCCAUCAUUAAGACCUUGGAAUCAUGUUGGGAGAAAGAGCCACUUCCUGACUAUUUGUACUAAGAGUGGCCUUUAAUAAACACUACAGCAGCCCUUCUUAAACUCUGCAGUGCAGACCAGUCACUGGAUGAUCUGUCUGGACUGGCAGAGCUUUUAUGAGCGUGUUGCAGAGAUGGUAAUAGAGAAGCAGGAUGGAAAUUGAACAAGCGCAUAAAUACAGAAGAAUCACACACACGCUGUAUGUACAGUUCUAUAAUUA
rnacentral:lncRNA from 1 species